UAAUAAUAAUUAUUUAUAAUUUAUCACUUGUUUAUAGGACCUAUUGAGAGUAAUAAUGCCAGAACACAAAUAAAACAAGUCAAUUAUCAAUCAUUAGAUGGAAACCCCUGUUAGACAAAUAUCCUCUAAAGAGUGACCUCCUUAGGUUAUUCAAAGAUUCUGGUGUUCAUAGUAAAAUUAUUGGUACUGCACUUGAUGUUCAAGUAAACGACCUAGUACCUCUUCCUCAGCUUACCUCAGAUAACCUCAUACUUGUGUUCCAGAGAUGGAUAGACUCUGAUAAUGACGUGACCUGGAGGAAUUUAACAUACUUCAAGUAUGUGAAGAUUAUCCGGAUGAACUUGGAAAAGCAAAAUCUGAUGUGGAGGGAUUCCUGUCAUCAGAUAGAGCCCGUA
rnacentral:lncRNA from 1 species